AUGCCAGAUCGGAGACAGCCUCCCGAGGUCCGAGCGGUACAUGCUGGUCAAAGGCGAGCACGUGUACCUGGACGACUACGAGGAUCCAUCAUCCAUGGGACAACGCCAACGAAUGAUCUGAACGGCAGCAGCACACGCCGUGAUUCCGGGGGAUCUGGAGGUGCCGAUGUUGGUGCUGCUUCCUCGUCAAGGCCACAGAAGAAAGGGAGAAAGCCAAGUGUUGGCUUCUUCCGUGGCGAGCGCGUUCGUAACGACUUCAGUGUCGUUCUUUGUGGCAACGGCCUCAGCAAGCUCGUCGUGCCUCCCAAUCUGUCCCAGAUCGUGCCCGGGAAGGCCCCACGAGUCGUCCGUGUUGGCUUCUUCCAGUUCAUGGGGAACAAGGAUGGCGUCCUGCGAACGUGA
rnacentral:rRNA from 1 species